UUUUUACCUCAUCCUUUGGACGCAUGCGUGACAAGCAUGCCGGGCAGGGAAGGGGUGAGACUGUGGCCUCACCAAUGCUCAUGCGUAGUCUCGGGAGUGUCUCCCUCGCUCCCCUACUGUAAUGCGCAUGCGUGAGAGGCCGUCGGCCUGGAAGCUGUGUGCGCGCGCCCUGCCGCCGAGCGGAACGGAGGGCGCGCGGGUCCGGCCGGGCCUGCGCUGGAGUUCGCAGAGCGGGGUGCGCACAGAGCUGGUGCAGCGCAUGCCCUGUAGUGAUGCUGUACGGCACAGCCUGUACCAGCCCAUGCAUUUGCUGCACACGGCUCAGCAUGGAGUCAGCCCUGCCGAGAAACUGUCUGGUGCUUAAAAGAGAAAAGAUUCCAAGCCAGAUCCAGAGUAGAAACAGAAGUUACCCAAAAUCACAACCUCCUUUCUAGUCCAGUAAGUUUGUACACUUGCUCAGCUCUGUGAAUGGAGGGUCUCUGGACCAAGGUACUAUUUGUGAAGUUACGUGUGGAAGGAAGGCUGAGGAAAGCCACAAUGGAGAAGUACUGAAUCUUUCUAUUGUAAAACAAAGUUUUUUAUAGAGCAGCCAUACCUCAAGCCAAAGACUGAAAAAGGUGAGGACAUUCUACAGGGCUUUCAGAGGGAUAAUGACAUUGGCCAUCUAAAUUGUGCAAACUUGGCUGAGAAUCAGAAGAAGGACGUCCUAGCAACUCGGAAGUUGCCACCUUCAAAUUUCAGUUUCCUAAAACACUAAUGGGCUCAGGGGCUAGUCAGAAAUAUCGUUGUUGCAGUGUGCAGCUCUUACAAGAGUAUAAAUUUGCACAUUACUCCAAACAUCUGGAUGGAGUGUUCUGUUAGUGUUCUUUAAACAGCAAGGAAGCAGUCUUGAUUUCCAUUCCCUUGAAAGACUGGUCAGAUGGCAAGAAAAUACUUGGGAGGCAUAGCAGAACCAAAGAACAUGUUCUUGCUAUAGCAAAGUCAGAUGAAUUUGUUGCAUUUGAGCACAAGAAAAAGUUUACAUACUGCAAUCAGCAUGCUCUGAAACAAAUAGUUAAAAUUACCAUCUUUUAUGGAAGGCAGAACCUUUUAAUGAGGGGACAGGUACUAAACACUAAGAUUGUACAUGCGCUUUCAUGUAAUAUCACAGGACUGGACCCUAAUUUGAAAGAGCAGCUUAGGGUAUGUCUACACUACGAAAUUAGGUCGAAUUUAUAGAAGCCGGUUUUAUAGAAAUCGGUUUUAUACAGUCAAUUGUGUGUGUCCCCACACAAAAUGCUCUAAGUGC